rnacentral:rRNA from 1 species
CAGUAGCCGCGGUAAUACGGAGGGGGCUAGCGUUGUUCGGAAUUACUGGGCGUAAAGCGCACGUAGGCGGCUUGGUAAGUUAGAGGUGAAAGCCUGGAGCUCAACUCCAGAAUUGCCUUUAAGACUGCCGAGCUAGCAGGUGAGAGAGGUAAGUGGAAUUCCGAGUGUAGAGGUGAAAUUCGUAGAUAUUCGGAAGAACACCAGUGGCGAAGGCGACUUACUGGCUCAUACUGGACGCUGAGGUGCGAAAGCGUGGGGAGCAAACAGGAUUAGAUACCCCCGUAGUCCCUGUCUCUUAUAC